ensembl:lncRNA
CGAUAUUCUACUAACGUUACAUGAAUGGUUCAAGGUUUUUGAAUGGGUGUUUUCGAACACGAAAUUUUAGCCUAAAUGUUGCGUAAUCAGAGCAAUAAAUGUUGAAAAAACAGGUUUAUCCUUGAUAACAUGGCUUUGUAUUUGUGUUUAUAUCUUUGUUUCUUCCCCAGUGUGUACAAGUAUCAACGGCAGAGAAGUACCAAAACCAACAUUCUUUUCCUAUUUCCUAUUACCUUAAGACCCACAACCAAGAUAUCAGGCAAUGACUCAAAUUGCCCCCUUUGGUUUCUUGUCCAAACAUCCUGUGAUUCCGUCUGAACGAUUUCAUGCUCGGAGAAGCGAAGGUUUGGGAGAAUAUAUCAGCUCCUGCUCAGUUCCAGGCAUUCGAUGUCUUAAACGACUAAAACACAUCGGACCUCCUCUCUCUAGUGCACAGAGUAUAUGAAAAAAUCGGUGAGUUUCAUCAUGUGAUCCGGCUCGCCACCCGAUGAUCAACACUUUACCAGACAACUGCAAGCGUGAGUGACUCACACGGAGGAUGAGGUCACUUCCACCACGCUGAGUAGUUUUUUGGCUUGUAAACAAACUGCCGUUGGCAGAACAGCACGUCUCCCAAAUCUCAAGCCAGAAGGAUGAACCUAAACAAGCUCACAAGAAAAGUCAUUGCAAAAAUAUAUUGCAAAAGCAUAUUUUUAAAUGCCAUGAAUAUUGUGUGACAACCCAUUGUUAACAGGGUCGUCAUAAACAAGUCUAUGAGUCUACAGACAAUUUGCACACUGAUGUUUUUAGAUCUAAUGUUUUACUAUGCUUACAGUCUUAGUUUUGCAUAUUAGCAUGCUAAUAUUUGCUAAAUGAAAUUGAACAAAUAAGGACAGCUGAUUGCAAAAAGAAAAUGUGGGCCGUAUAUUUGGCGCUGGAUUUGCUGGGGGGGGAA